AACGAACGCUGGCGGCAUGCCUAAUACAUGCAAGUCGAACGAGAUCUUCGGAUCUAGUGGCGCACGGGUGCGUAACGCGUGGGAAUCUGCCCUUGGGCUCGGAAUAACGUCGGGAAACUGACGCUAAUACCGGAUGAUGACGUAAGUCCAAAGAUUUAUCGCCCAAGGAUGAGUCCGCGUAGGAUUAGCUAGUUGGUAAGGUAAAGGCUUACCAAGGCGACGAUCCUUAGCUGGGCUGAGAGGAUGAUCAGCCACACUGGGACUGAGACACGGCCCAGACUCCUACGGGAGGCGGCAGUAGGGAAUAUUGGACAAGGGCGCAAGCCUGAUCCAGCAAUGCCGCGUGAGUGAUGAAGGCCUUAGGGUUGUAAAGCUCUUUUACCCGGGAUGUUAAUGACAGUACCGGGAGAAUAAGCCCCGGCUAACUCCGUGCCAGCCGCCGCCGUAA
rnacentral:rRNA from 1 species